rnacentral:piRNA from 1 species
UGUGUUGGGCAAAGCUAUCAAGUGAA